AGUGGGUUGCCAUGCCUUUCUCCAAAGGAUCUUCCUGACCCAAGGAUGGAACCUGGGUCUCCUACAUUGCCAGGUCUCCUGUGUCAUUGAUGUGAUGUUUUGACAUAUGUAUCCAUUGGGAAAUGAUGACCAAAACCAAGGUGCAGUAGUGUUUGUUGAAAAAUAAUUUUCAUCAAAUUACAGAGAGAAGGAAAAAAAAAAAACAUAUCAGUAGCACAUCGCUGCAAGCAGAAAAUAUCUCCAGGGAAGCAAUCAAUCUGCAGCUCUGAUACAAGAGGAAAGCCAAUGAUGUUGGAUACAUGCCCCUCUCUCCUUCUGCUCUCUAACAUAACAAGGAUAACAGGAAACAGAAGUGUGAACUCACACUUCAGUAAAAUUGGAGACAUUGGUAACCAGCACUAUUAAUACAUUGAGAAAUCUAGGUUUUUCUACCAGCUUGUCCAGAUGUGAAGCAGGAAGGGAAGAAGUAGAGAGACUGAACAGCUGUCAAUAAACAUGAAAAAACAGAGUACAAAGGGGCGUUUGCAAAAGAAUUGGCCCAUGCUCUUCUAAAAUGUCAAUAAAAAGAGGUAAAAGCAUACAAAACUGUUUCAUGUUAAAGAAUAAUCUUUUUUAGAGGUAUGACAACUAUAUACAACAUAUGAUCUUGGAUUGGAAACUGGGUCAGAAAAAAAUGCCCUAAAAUACAUUACUGGGAUGACUGGAAAUUUGUGAAUGUGAAUGAUAUAGUUAUUUUGUAUCAAAGUUAAUUUCAUGAAUUUAAUGAUUGUUAUACAUGAUUUUCUAAUAUAAUUUAUGUUCUUAGGAUAUACAUAAGUUACUUGAGUGAAAAAUCUUGAAGUUUGCAGCUGUUUCAAUAAAU
ensembl:lncRNA